UGAAAUUAGGGUUCCUCGAAUGAUAGUACAUUCAUCGCCGAUACACCAGUAAACCAAAGGAGCGUCAACUAUGCUGAAAGCGAUGGAUUGGAGUCACGAAAGCUAAGUGCUCUGUUUCGUACCAGAGUAUCAAUUUGUCGAAGUAAAAGGUCCGCUGAUUUGAAACUGUUGCUAUGGAGGCGUUGGUUUCUCUCUGCCCACAAGGAGUAGAUCGUUGCUUGCCAGGAGAUGAGGAGAAGCUUCUUUGCCACACGUUAGCCACGGAAGUUGAUAAGGCUGUGGAUCGUACCUGCCCAAGUUUGAGAUGGGUUGAGUGAGCAUCGUCGAGAGAUUUUGCUCCAGAUCGACCAGCUGAAAGGGCAUUGAAAUAGUAGGUGGUCACGGCUCUCAUCAUCUGAAGCACAAAGCAAACACGAAGGAUCAACUUGGAUACCCCAGUUAGAGAGCCUGUCUCGAGUGGGGCAUCUGUUCAACAUAAAUAACCAGGGUCCUUUGUUAGUCGGAUGUUUGAGAGUUCAAUCUGAAUGUUGACUUGAGUUUCUGAUCUAGCCGGCGGAAGUCUCCAACCCCCAUUCCUCCAUAGGUCCGCAAUUAGAGUGCCCUUGUGGAUGCCCAUACAUCCUUCGCCUUGCAGAUAAGUCAACAUUUUUCCAAACUUGCACCAAUUAUCACUCAAAAAACGACAACUCCUCCCAUUCCCCAGCUUCAUCUUUAUCCAUGGGUACACCUCCUCCCUGACUUUUAACAACUUGUUUGCUAACCAAGAAUGUUUGGCUUUUGUCUUGUAGGUCCAGAAGUUGCUCAAACUACCUGAGAGAACAGCAUCCUUGAACUAUGCCACCCACACCGAACCCGAUCUAAAAAAGAUCAACCAGAUAAGUUCAACAGGCAAGCUCUGUUCCAUAGACUCAACUCUCGAAUGCCUAAUCCUCCUUCUUUUUUGUCAUUUACCACAGUACUCCAAGCAACACGAGCCGAGUGAUGUCCUUCAGUGGUUCCCUUCCAUAAGAACGCUCCACAAAGAGAAUUGAGGGUGUUAAUGCAACGCUUGGGAAGUACCAGGGCAGAGCACCAAAAGUUAGAUAUUCCAGCUAUAACCGUAUUCAAAAACUGGAGCCGGCCUGCAAAAGAGAGGGUUUUGGUUGACCAAGCGUUUAGUUUUCCUUUAACCCGUUGUAUGAGAGGUGCACAAUCCAAGAGGAUUCAAAGAACCCUGAUGUAAAGAAACUUGUCUUAGGCAAACUGAUGGCUAAACCCGAGGCUUUUUCAAACUCUGCCAAUACUUCCAACACAUUUUUUACUGAGCUUUAUCCAGCAUCACUGAGACACAGUUCAUGACAAGAACAAAAAGGUAAGGUGAGAGGGGAUCACCUUGCCUUAGACCUCUUCUACCUUUAAAAUAACCAUGGACGUUUCCGUUGAAACCCACUGAGAAAGAAGGCGUGCAGACACAAGCUUGGAGCCACCUAAGUUUGAUUCUUCUGUACCAAGUCAGGGAGAAUAGGCUUAAGUCUACUGACAAUGAGUUUAGAGAUCACCUUAUAGAGGGUGUUUAAGCAAGAGAUAGGUCGGAAUUCAGAGACCAUAGAGGCACCAGGGAACUUCGGGAUAAGCGCAAGGAUUGUAGCAUUAACCGCAGAGGGGAGAAAAUCUGUUUGAAAAAAGAUCAGGAUGCUUGAGGAGAUCAAGCUCUGAAUCCAAGGGAUGCUGACGACAACCGUACUCAUAGUGGAAGGGCCAAGUAUGGAUUGGAAGUGACUAACCGCCAUUCGACUCAUUUCCACAGGAUCAUCUACCAAAGUAACUGAAGGUCAGUGGAAGGGGUUGCCAAGGCUUGAACCUGCACAGAUUGAAGCAAAAGUGUUUUUUGUUUAGCGCUAAGGGUAGACAAACUUGUUUCCAAGGAAUUUGCAUUUCCGGUCAGAGUCCAUGCAGUGCUAACGGUGGGAAGGAAUUGGGGAUGGGUAAUUAAAAAGUUGAAAAAUUUGAAGGGUUUGGAUCCAUCACAAGGGAGGGGGGUAUCGAGGUUUAGAAGACAGGGAGUGUGGUCAGAUAUCUUAGGAGCAAGGAAGGAGACAAUACUAUUGGGAGAGAACCCCGAUAUCACAAGUCAAUAAGCUCCAUUUGCAACAGAUAGUCCCGCAUUUCUAUCAUUCUUGAAGUCAGAUGAUUCACAACAUGGUUUGAGUGCUCAGCCGGGUGUAGGAUUUGAUUGAAGUCUCCUCCAACCAGCCACGGGAAUGAGUCAAGCGCAUACCAUUGUUGAAGAUUGAUAAGAUCACACCAGAGUGGCAGGAAGUUUCCAAAUGAUUACUAUCCGUCCAUCUUCAUCAAAGCUGUGAUUAGACAUGUAAUUCCAACCAGGACAGGUAAGAUUCAUGAUUCUGUUCAAAUUGGGUUCCUUUAUGUGGGUUUCAAUAAGAGCACCAAAAAGAGGCUUGUGAGUCGCAAGCCAAGUAGAGAAAGGACGAUGUUUGUCCAAAGUAUUCAAGCCACAAACAUUCCAAAAAAAUGGUUUUAUAUACAUUUGGAUAAAGAGGGGGGGUUAACAGGUAGGAGGCUCCUCUCCCUUAGUAGAGAGAGUCACCUCAGUAAAAGGGGUUUGGACAGUAUUCGAUCCAGUGAUGGAGUUAGAAGAUAUUAUAAUAGAGAAAAAGGGUGGAGAGGAUAGGGCAGAAGAAUUGGAUCCAUCUGAGGGUGGAGGGUGUGGAAGAGUUUUGUGGGCUUCAGGUAAGGUGGCUAAGACAUCAAAAGGAUUAUUAUUUUCAAAGUUUUUUGGUAUCAAUGGAGGAGAAGAGCAAUCCAUUGAGGAGGGAGAGUGAGGAGGGUGGGUGAGGGGUAAGACAGGUUGAGAUGGUUUAAGAGUAUCAACAGGGAGGAUUGAAGGUUGCGGUUUGGCAGGGGGAACAAGAUCAGCAGCAGUGGAGGGGACUUGAUCAGAGUUAGUGACAUUCAUAGCAGUGGAGGGAACAUGAACAGUGGAGGUAACUUGAACAGUGUAGGGGACUUGAGCACCAUUAAUGGCACUCGAAGCAGGAUUGGAGGGUGAUCGGGGAGUAGCUGAGGAAGAGGCCCCACCUUCUUAAGGAGAGGAAUUGGGGGGAGAGUUAGUGGAGUGAUCUUUUCCCUUGCUUUCCUUAGUGAGAGCAUGUGGGUGGGAUCCAGGGAUACUCAACCUCAAUGGUGAUUAUUUCACCACUUUCUCUUUGUAUCUCAACUGAAGAAGGUAGUCGUUCAUUUAGAUUCCUUUCUACUUUGACAUGGGUCUCCGUGAGACUGACAAGAUUUCGUGUAAAUUCAUCCAUUUCUUUCGGCUCACCAACAAGUCCAGCAACUAAACUGAUAUCUUUUUGAUGCAUCAUAUCAAAUGGCAUGCCUUUUAGAUGGGCCCAGAUGGGGAUGGCAUUGAGAUCAGGGUUGGCUCCACCAGCAGAAUCCCAUUGAGCUACUAAGAACAUAUAUUCACCAAUGUACCCAAGUUCCUUUUCUAGUACCUUUGUACGUAUAUAGUCAUUAGGGAGCCGUACCAGCAUUGAGUUAUUGGCAUGAUUAAGCUCCUUCAUGGAACACUGCAUCAGGGAUAACAAUUAUGGGCUUCCCAUCCGGAGAGAGCUCAACAGGUGCUAAUCUCGAGAGCGUUCUGUCUGAGAUUUUCUUUAGUUUUUGCGCCAGUGUGGGGAUUCAGGCUAGAAGAAACAACAGGAGGAAGCAAGACUUGAGAUUCGGUUUGUAGACUUGGGGUCGAGGGGGUAGAGACAAUUGGAGCUGCAAUUGCAGACUCAGGCUCAGGAGUUGAGGAGACCUCCAUCAUGUCUUGGGAGAUGACUGCAGGGAUUGAUGGAUUUGAGACAGAGUAGUUCACCAAAGAGCCUACCUGGUGCGUUGUUACUGCUGAUUGUGGAGGUACUGUAGCCAGGUUUUCAGAUCUAGGGUUUUGGGACAAAGUUUGGUUAUAUACUUUUAGUAUCGCUUGCGCCUGGGCAUUGACAACCACAUGAGUAGAUUUAUGAUGCACGGGAAGGGCUAAGACCACUAUCUCAGGCUCAAUGUAAGCAGUUUGAGGUGAGUGUUGGGGUGGGGAGGAGGGGAAGAGGAGUGGGGAGGGAAUCGGCUAAGGAAACGAUGGGAAUCGGGUCAGGAGGGUCUGGAGGAAAGGGAGGGGGACAGUUAGGACUAUCUUCAGCCAUGGCUAAAACAGGGUUUUAGCCGGAAACGCAAUUCUCAGGGAACCAGCGGUUCGCCGUUAACAUUUUUUUUGCGUUUCCGCAAUGUCUUUUAUUAAAUUUCAUACGUCAUACUCCUAAGCCUACAAUAUUCGUUCUCAUAAAAAUAACCUACAGUAUAUUAAUGUAGAAAAUAAAAUAAAAGGGGAAGAAACACUAUAAAGAAGAGUCUUGUAUAUAAUAAGAGUCCUAUUAUAUAUAUGUAACAAUA